UCAAACCAAAGCUGGCGACCGGCGCACGGGUGAGUAACACGUAUCCAACCUGCCUCAUACUCGGGGAUAGCCUUUCGAAAGAAAGAUUAAUAUCCGAUAGCAUAUAUUUCCCGCAUGGGUUUUAUAUUAAAAAAAUUCGGUAUGAGAUGGGGAUGCGUUCCAUUAGUUUGUUGGGGGGUAACGGCCCACCAAGACUACGAUGGAUAGGGGUUCUGAGAGGAAGGUCCCCCACAUUGGAACUGAGACACGGUCCAA
rnacentral:rRNA from 1 species